rnacentral:lncRNA from 1 species
UCAAUUCUAACAUAUACAAGGAAUUUCUCCUGUAAACAAAACUAUAUUGUCUAGAUUCAUUUUUUCACAUAAUUGUCAGAUUCACCGAAGUUGAAAUGAAGGAAAAAAUGUUAAGGGCAGCCAGAGAGAAAGGUCGGGUUACCCACAAAGGGAAGCCCAUCAGACUAACAGCGGAUCUCUCGCCAGAAACUCUACAAGCAGGCUUUUGGGGCAGCAGGAUGGAUUUUGGGCAAGCUCCUCUCCCCUCAAGCACUACCUUUUCUCUCCUAGUCAGCCUACUGUUAUUAACUACUUCCAAGCUGCUCUCCGUUAAGGCUGUACCAUUCAUAGUACUGCCAGCAAUAUAUGAGAAUACCUGUCAUUCCACACUGAGGAAUACUACUGAUACAAAUUUUUUUAUGCUUGUCUAUCUAACACAUGUAAAUUGUGGUUCUAGUUUCUAGUUUUCUUACCAUGAACAAGAAGCUUCUUUUCAUAAGUUUAAAGAACGCUUUUAGCUUCUUAUCUGUGGUGUAGCUUGGUAAAGAGGCUGACUGAUAUCCACAGAAUGGGUCAUCCUAUACACCCGAUUAUGAAACAUCCUCUGCUAAGGUUACCCUUUGGUAAGUAUUCACAUAGGGCACAAAUAUCUUUAUAUUUUUUACCUGUUCAGCGAGGUCCAUAUCUCUUCCCUAGAAUUCCUUGUCACCAGUUUUUAAAUAAUGUUCCUUCCAAGUUCCUGACCAUCCAGCCAGACCAUUGGCUACAGUGCAUGAGUUGGUAUAUAAUGUCACAUCUGGCUAUUUCUCCUUCUAGGAAAAAUGAACAACCAGGUGCGGUGCUCAGAGUUCCAAUCACUGGGAGGAUUUCCCUUCACCACUGUUCUUUGGGGAUGUCCCAGAACAGGACUGUAGCGCUGUCCAGGUGGUAUCUGUCUAUCAUGCAGAACCAUCUGUAAACCAGGCCUGAGUCUUCUCUACCUCUAUCAACUGAUCAUAGGGAACUCCCCAUGAGGCAAUAUAGUGAGACCCUGUCUCUUAAAAAUGUUAUGCUACCAAUGUUAUGCUACCAAUAAAAAUCAUAUUACAGUUACAAUAACUAUUUCCAGAUAAUAAACCAACCCAAAAUUUAGUAGAUUAAAACAACAAUCAUGGUUGGGCUUGCAAAUCCACAAUCUGAGCAGAGCUCAGUAGGGAUCGCUCAGCUCUGUUCCAUGUGGUAUCAGCUGAAAUGGUCUGAUUGGGAACUACAUGACCCACUUUCAAGAUAGUUCCCUCACAUGGUUUGCAAGCUGUUGCUGACUGUUGUUUGGGGAGGCUUGGUUCCUUUCCUCAUGAGCUCUCCCAUGGAGAGCUUGUUAGGCUUAAGUUUUUGACUAUUUAAUUUAAUUGGGAGCCUCUACUUAUUUUCUUAGUUUUGAGAUGACUGAUUAACAGGAGUUUCCCACCUACACAAGAAGAUGUGUCUGCAGAAAAUGAAUUGUUUAAGAACAUAUGGGCACUCCGCUUCAGUCACACUAAAUUCCUCUUUGACCCAUGUCCCAGGCUUCGUUCUUAUUGCCCAGGCUAGAGUGCAAUGGCGUGAUCUCGGCUCACCACAACCUCUGCCUCCCAGCUUCAAGCAAUUCUCCUGCCUCAGCCUCCCGAGUAGCUGUGAUUACAGGCAUGUGCCAACACGCCUGGCUAGUUUUGUAUUUUUAGUAGAGAUGUGUUUUUUCCAUGUUGGUCAGGCUGGUCUCAAACUCCCGACCUCAGGUGAUCCACCUGCUUCGGCCUCCCAAAGUGCUGGGAUUACAGGCAUGAGCCACCGCACCUGGCCUUUUUA